GGUCAGUGAUGAGUUGUAAAAGGUCUGAAGUCAAGAGCUUCAACCCCUCCAGCUCCUCUGGUCCUCCCAGCCCACCUGCUGUGUAUCCCAGCAUGCUCUAGGUGUUUCUGUUGGGGCUUCAUGGUGGCUGAUAUUGAGAGCUAUCUACUCAGUGUGUGUUUGCAAGAGAGACAGCAUGACACACAGAGAAGAAAUGGCUAACAGAACACAUUCACAACACACACACACAUACAUACACACACAUACAUACACAGGAGGGCGGAGCUUCAGGGGAUGAGUGGCUCAUGAUCUCCAGUUUUCAAUCUGAGGCC